rnacentral:rRNA from 1 species
GAUGAACGCUGGCGGCGUGCCUAAUACAUGCAAGUCGAGCGAACGGACGAGAAGCUUGCUUCUCUGAUGUUAGCGGCGGACGGGUGAGUAACACGUGGAUAACCUACCUAUAAGACUGGGAUAACUUCGGGAAACCGGAGCUAAUACCGGAUAAUAUUUUGAACCGCAUGGUUCAAAAGUGAAAGACGGUCUUGCUGUCACUUAUAGAUGGAUCCGCGCUGCAUUAGCUAGUUGGUAAGGUAACGGCUUACCAAGGCAACGAUGCAUAGCCGACCUGAGAGGAGGAACAGGCCCACUGGAACUGAGACAAGGGCCCGACUCCUAAGGGAGGGAACCGGGGGGAAUUUUGCACAAUGGGGGGAAGGCUGACCGGACCACGCCGGGGGUGGGGAGGAAGUCUUCGGAUUGGAAAACACUUUUUAUUGGGAAGAAAAGUAGUGGGAAGAAACGGUGCCAUCUUGACGUUACCAAAAGAAGAAGCCCCGGCUAACUUCGUG